rnacentral:ncRNA from 1 species
AACGGGGAAGCUGAAAACCUAUUAGAGUAAGCA